AAUAUUGGACAAUGGGCGCAAGCCUGAUCCAGCCAUGCCGCGUGAGUGAUGAAGCCCUUAGGGUUGUAAAGCUCUUUCACCGGGGAAGAUAAUGACGGUAUCCGGGGAAGAAGCCCCGGCUAACUCCUUGCCCGCAGCCGCGGUAAUACGAAGGGGGCUAGCGUUGUUCGGAAUUACUGGGCGUAAAGCGCACGUAGGCGGAUAUUUAGGUCAGGGGUGAAAACCCAGAGAUCAACUCUGGAACUGCCUUUGAUACUGGGUAUCUUGAGUAUGGAAGAGGUAAGUGGAAUUCCGAGUGUAGAGGUGAAAUUCGUAGAUAUUCGGAGGAACACCAGUGGCGAAGGCGGCUUACUGGUCCAUUACUGACGCUGAGGUGCGAAAGCGUGGGGAGCAAACA
rnacentral:rRNA from 1 species